rnacentral:other from 1 species
UAACCCCUGCUGUGUGCGUGUGGUAUCGCAGUUUUGAGCCAACAGAUUAUAUUCGGGAAUCCGGACUCUCGUAGUGGCGCUACGCCCGUGAGGGACAGUAAUAUUACGAGGAGGAUACCCACCUGCCCAUGCAGGAUCAAAACACGGUACAUAUACGGCAUGGUGGGGCUCUU